GCAAUCAUACAAGCACUAAUGUAUCGGAUCCCAUUAGAACUCCGUAGUUAAGCGCGUUUGGACCAGAGUAGUACUACGAUGGAUGACCCCUUGGAAAAUUCUCGGGCUACACCCC